rnacentral:rRNA from 1 species
GGGCAACAUGCAAGUCGAGCGAGAACGAUCCAAGCUUGCUAGGAGGCGUCGAGCGGCGGACGGGUGAGUAAUGCAUAGGAAUCUGCCCGGUAGUGGGGGAUAACUUGAGGAAACUCAAGCUAAUACCGCAUACGCCCUACGGGGGAAAGCAGGGGCUCUUCGGACCUUGCGCUAUCGGAUGAGCUUAUGUCGGAUUAGCUGGUUGGUGAGGUAACGGCUCACCAAGGCGACGAUCCGUAGCUGGUCUGAGAGGAUGAUCAGCCACAUCGGGACUGAGACACGGCCCGAACUCCUACGGGAGGCAGCAGUGGGGAAUAUUGGACAAUGGGGGCAACCCUGAUCCAGCCAUGCCGCGUGUGUGAAGAAGGCCCUCGGGUUGUAAAGCACUUUCAGCGAGGAAGAAUGCUUGUCGGUUAAUACCCGGCAAGGGAGACAUCACUCGCAGAAGAAGCACCGGCUAACUCCGUGCCAGCAGCCGCGGUAAUACGGAGGGUGCGAGCGUUAAUCGGAAUUACUGGGCGUAAAGCGUGCGUAGGCGGCUUGAUAAGCCGGUUGUGAAAGCCCCGGGGCUCAACCUGGGAACGGCAUCCCGGAACUGUUAGGCUAGAGUGCAGGAGAGGAAGGUAGAAUUCCCGGUGUAGCGGUGAAAUGCGUAGAGAUCCGGGAGGAAUACCAGUGGCGAAAGGCGGCCUUCUGGACUGACACUGACGCUGAGGUACCAAAGCGUGGGGUAGCAAACAAGAUUAAAUACCCUGGGUAGUCCACCGCCGUAAACCAAUGUCCACUAAACCCUUUGGGGUCCUCCAAGACCUUUGUNUGCGCNANUUUAACNCCCCUAAAUCCACCC